AGGUCAAUGAUGACACCCCAGUGACAUGAAGAGAGGUGAUUAAUUAAAAAUCAUGCUCAAUAGGAUUACGCUGAGGCCC